CGCAAAAGCAAGUCAGCUAUCAACUUAUGGGUUCUAACUCAAGCGGAGUAUGGGGCCCCACCCCCCGCAAGCAGGAUAGGGGCAGUCAACUAAAAUGCUGCAAGAUUGCUUGUUGCUAGUGUAUAGAAGUACAAUUGGGGCUUCCCUGGUGGCGCAGUGGUUGAGAGUCCGCCUGCCGAUGCAGGGGACACGGGUUCGUGCCCUGGUCCGGGAAGAUCCCACAUGCCGCAGAGUGGCUGGGCCCGUGAGCCAUGGCCGCUGAGCCUGCGCGUCCGGAGCCUGUGCUCCGCAACGGGAGAGGCCACAACAGUGAGAGGCCCGCGUACCGCAAAAAAAAAAAAAAAAAAAAAAAAAAAAGAAGAA